GACUCCGUAGCAUGUGGUAUGCGUCCGCGCUCCUUAGUUGUCGGCUGCGUUUCCGGAUGCGGAAGAACUCGGUUCGAUUCCGGGCGGGGACA